rnacentral:lncRNA from 1 species
AGACUCAACUUCUCACACUCCACAUUCUUUUUUGGAUAAACUUCAAAUAUCACCCCUGUAGUUUCACACUCUCUCACUUUAGUAUCCUAUAGUUUAAAGUGUAUUAAGUCAGUGUCAUGUGGUUUUAUGUUUAUCUUUUCGUCGGCUUCUCCGUUCAUAUUUCGUUAAAUUAUAUAAAAAAAUUCAGAUAGUCCACUUAGCUUUAUCGAAUAUUCACUUUAGUACCCUUUAGUUUUAAGUUUGUUACUGAUUUAACAAAAAAAAAUUAAAUCAAUAAUAAAAAGAUAAAAAUAAAAUCACAGGACACUAAAUUGAUACACUUUAAACCAUAUGAUACUAAAGUGAGAAGGUGUGAAACCAAACACAGGAGUGGUAUUUAAAGUUUUUUCUUAAAAAAAAAAAAAA